GUUGCAGGGAGAUUCUUGAGCCUUUUAAAGACGUUCCUAGGGGAUUCAGGAGCAUUCCAAAUUGAUUACGGGGAUUUCAAGGGCAAUGGGCAUAUGAAGGUUUCAAGGGCGAUUCGAGACAUUUCAGGGGCGUUGCAAGAGAUUUCAAGGGUUUUUCUGGAAAGGUCUUAAGAGGUUAAGGGCGUUCAGGGGGUAUUUCAAAGGGAGUACGGAGAUUUCAGGAAUGUUUCAAUAGCAUAUUGUGACCCAGAGACCCCAUAGAACUUCCCUAAAACCCCCUACCAGUUACCAUUUACCAGUUCAUACCAUAAAUACCAUUGAUUCCUCUUGGUACCCUAUGAACCCCCCUUGAAAUGCUCCUGAGAUCUCCAGGUGCCCCCUGAAACCACCAGACAUGAUCCCUGAACCCCUUGAACCUCCUGGGAUCUUCUAAAAAGCCCCAGGGUCCCUGGAACCCCCUUGAAGCGCUCCUGGAGCGCCCCUGAGGCCCCCUUAAACGCUGAUGGGACCUUACCUUUUAAACCCCCUUGGACCCCCUUGAAUCGUCCCUGAGAUCUCCUGGUACCCCUUUUUUUCUUCUAAACCAUGGGAUAAUCUGCUCAACAGACACCCGUAGAGAAGGUCCAUGGUGUGGGGGGGCAAGGACCGUCUUCUACAAAAAAAAAAAAAAAUAAGUGUAAACCAGGACUCUUUCCUCGACCUACUAAACAACAUUCCCAUUGUCGCCAAACCCUUCGUAUUUCCAGAACCACCAAAAAUGCAUUGCUUCAGAGAGGGGCUAGUGCACAUCACACCCUCGAAACCACGCCUGCUUCCAACUGCGCAGCAAGUAUCAAGAACUGAUACCGCGUUCACAGCGAUUUGACCUUCCCGCAAGUAAGGCUCCAUCAGUUCCACUCCAGAAACGCCCCCGGGACCUCCAUGAAACCCUCUGGGUCCCACUGAAAAUCCCCUGAGCCUGUUUGAAGCACCCUAAACACCCGCUGGAUCACCCUGAAAUCCUCUGGGAUCUCCUGAAAACUACCUGGGACCCCUAGAAGCACCCCUGAGAUCUUCUGGUACCCCCUGAAACGCCCCUGAGAUCCUAUGGAACCCCCCUGGAACUCUCUGAGAUCAUUUGAAGUGCCCCUGCGACCCUCUGGAUCUCUAAGAAAUAUCCCUGGAAACACCUAAAACUCCUUGACACCUGAUUAUACACCCCUGAUACUUCCUAGCAUCCAUUGAAGCCCACUUAAAACGCUCUUCAGACCUCGAGGUACCCCCUGAAACCUCCUCAAAAGCAUUUGAGAUUAUCUUGAAACUUCCUGGAAUCCUCCAGACAUCCAUAAGUACUAUACUACAUCGUAGUGAACGACUGAACACAAAACUGGUUGAAACAGUUAAAAUAUACUUAAAUUAUAUGGUUUUGAAGCCUAAAAUUACUUUAAACAGUCGUAUUUUAGGUCACAAUCAUUGGACUUCGGACAUUCCAAAUAUACCCCAGCCUGAAAUUGCUUAAAACAGCUGCCAUGUUGGAUUUGGUCCGUCAUUUUGAAUAUUAUGGUAGCCAUUUUUGGGCUCCAGACAUCUUUCUCAUACGAAAUAUAUCCAUAUUUCAAGUCGCCAUCAUGCAGUUUAGGUCGCCAUUUUGAUUUUGGGGCCGACAUCGUGGAUUUUCUGGUCACCAUUGAUGAACUCUGCACAAAAUUCGUUAACCAUUGCAAAGUUAUAAAAAUCGGAGCAAUUUCAUGUGUCCCACGGUUUGGAUUCUUGUUAUAGUAUUUGUCCAGUUUACUGGUACUGGUCUGAAUCACUAAAAUGACCAUUACUCCGGAACGCUUCGAGCGACCCGGACCAUUUCCAAUAGCAAACAAUGAGGUAAAUUACAGACCCGAUUCAUGCAAAACCCGUUGAAAUUGGGCAAUGACAAGUAUCUUAAAAUUGAGUGACCUUUUUUGUGCACAGACAUACAUACAUAACUUUGGGAGAUGGCUUCUGAAAAAGAUCCCAAACGGAUCGAAACGUCGGGAAAGAUUUAAACAACUAGUUUUCAAUUUCCUCCAAGACUGCUAAGCCAUCUCCCAAAGUUCUAUAUCAAAACAGUCGAAACCCGAUAAGCAUAAAUACAUACAUAACCUGAAAUCGACGUACUGAAUUGAUUGGUAUACGUGACUUGACUCUCCGGGCCUUUUAUCGAAAAUUCGUUUUAUGAAUAAACAUUUAGCCUUUCAGUCCAUUUUGUUGUACGAGAAAGGCAAAAAAAAGGUUCUGCAGUGCUGAUCGGCUCAGACUCUCCUUCAAUAACAAACAUAGAUUAUAUAUAUUUCUGGAACGAUGCCAGGAGAAGAUUCCAGGGAAUAUCUUCGCAAUAAAUCUGAAUGAAAUCCUGAGGUACUCCCAUAGCUUCUUUCAAAGUAGUUUUGAAAAAUCGGACAAAUUCUCAACAUAAUAUUCGGAGAAUCUUUUGUAGGAAUCCUCGAAAUUGUUUGUAGAAGUUUCUUCAAAUUUCCAGGACAAAUGUUUGAGAAAUUUCUGGAAAAAUGCUCUGCGAAAUUUUCUAGGUAAGGAUCUGAGGAACUCUUAAAAUCUUUGAGUAAACCUUGUAAAAAGGUCUGAUGAUGUCCUCUUUGGGAUUCCAAAUUCCAUGGAAGAAUCUUACCAUAAGAAUUUCUAGAGGAGUCGACGAUGAAUUUCAGAAUUCUUGGGGGAACUUUAGGAGGACAACUCUGAAUAAUAUACCUAAAGAAAUUUAUGAAGGAUCUUCGGAAAAAAAUUUGGAAAAUUCUUGUAGAAAUUUUUAAGGCAAUUUCUGGAGGGGAUGAGUUUCUGAAAGAAUUUCUGGGAGAACCAUUUUCCGAAGUAAACAUUUCAUUUUUACCAUUUCAGACGGCCCCUCCCCCGUCGUAGACGUUUGUUAAUACACAAUUUUAGGAAUUUGUAUGGACCUAGGCCCUCUCCUCACCGAGGAGUCUAAUUAGUUUACCGACAGACGCUGAAGGAGAUUUUUCAGGUAAAUCAGCAAGAGAGUUUCUAAAGAUUUUUUUUAAUACUUCCCGGAUGAGUUUAUGGAGGAAUCCUUGGAAGAAACUUUGUGGAGGUUUUUAAAGGAUAUUUUAGAGGAAUCGACGGCACGGAUCAUUUCUAAUAAUGAUCUAAAGAGAACCUAAGGAUUCCUUAAAACAAAGGAACCAUUUUUUGAGGAAUUUUCGUAAAAUCGGAGAAAAUUGGGAAGGAUUUUGGAAUGAUUUUGGAAGAAUCCUCCAAGAUAAGCUACGUAGAUUUAUUUUUGAUCAUCUCAGGCAUCUCCUCCCCCCUCAAGGUAUUUUUUUCUAUAUACACUUUUGACGUAGACGUUAGCCAGUCCCCCUCCCUCCUCGAAAGGUAUACACAGCUUGCGGACGAUCCUUAAAGGAGAUUUGUUUCGGGAAAUCCUCAAAGGAGUUUGUACAAGAAAGUUAGGAAUAUUUCCCGAAAUAAUUAAUUGAUGCUCUCAAGGGAACUUCUCGUAGGAACUUCUGGACAAAAACCUGACCCUAUAACUGAAAUGAUUCAUCCUUGAAGAAAUUCCAGCAGAAUUAUUCAGAAGAAUUCUAACAAAAAUUCGUAAUGAACUGUUAAAGGUGAUUUCUUUUUGAAGCAAUCCUCCGAAAAUAAAGUCUGAGGAGCAAAGAUUAAAUCAAUAGUUUCCUUGGAAAAACACAUGGAGAGCUUUUUGAAGAAUUUCAGGGAAAUCAAGGAAGAAAUUUUUAAAAUAAUCCUUGGAAAAUUCUCGGAGAUUUUCAGAGAUACUCAAAUAUUCGAUGAACUUCCAGGAAAAUCCUUUGAAGAACCUGCAGUGGAUUUUCUGUAGAAACUCUUCAAGAAUCAUUGCUAAGAUUUUUCAAAGUUACUUCUGGAUAAACUUCUGGAAAAAAUUUUCGAUACACUCCUGGAGAAAUUAUCAAAGGAACUCUUGAAACAGGUCGUUGUUUGAAUUGUUAAAAACACCUUUUGGGGGAUUUCCUUUAGCAAAACUUAGAAACAUUUUGUGGAAAUUUCUACUUCAGAGUUCUAGGGAGAGUUUUAAAUUGACAUUCUGACUGGAGGAAUUCUCAAAUGAAUUUUCCUAAAUAUACAAAUUGAGAAGUUCUUGGAAAAAUUCACAAAAGAUGUGCAAAAAAAUGUAGAAUAACAUUUAGAAAAAAUCUUGAAAAUGUUCUCAAAGAAAUGAUUGAACAAAAAAUCCACGAUAAACCUUAGCAGACACUCUUGGAAAAAUCUUUGAACGAAUUUGCGGGAAAUGCUGACGAAAAUUUCUGAAACAAUUCUGAAGACAUCCUAGCUGGAGUUUUCGAAAAAAAACACUCCUUUAAAUUAAAAAAAAAAGAAAACAUCUACAUAUUAUUUUUUUCGCUAUGAUUUUUUAAAAAACCUGAUUGGAGGACACACACACGAAUCGCUAAAUGAAAACUCAAACAAAUUCUCAAAAUUACAUGUGAUAGAACUAUGAACCUUCCCAAGGAACAGAAGUAGCUUAAUAACAGUUUCUUAAGCUCAAGUUUGCUUAAGAGUAGUUUGUUCCACUCUUGUACAAUCAAAAUGUUUGUUGGGUUAUUUUUAACAGUUCCUUCAAAGUAUUUUUGAAAUGUCUUUCGCCAUGGAAUUAACCGGAAUUUUAAUUUUCAAAAUUGUUGCUGAAAAACUAAAAUAUGUGUUAAAGUCUUCGAUAAGUUGCUAGUAGAAUUCUUUCAAAGUUUCCACGACAUUCUAAAUGAAACCAAUACUUCAACCUUAAUUUACCGGAAUCCUCAUUGAAAUCUUUCAGAAAUCCUCUCUUGAAUCGUAUCAUAAUUCUAUAUUAUAAUUCCCGAGAAAUUAUGGAAAUCACAUUUGAUAGAGGGACGUUUCAGAAGCUACUCCAAGAUAUUUGAUUGAAAUUGUACUACAAACUUUGAGUAAUUCCACAAGUUUCAUUAGUUCUACAGUUUUAGGAAUUCCUAGAAAAACAUUUUUUCAAUUAUACAUCACAACAGCUUGCCAAACCUUCUCCAAGAUUAUUGUGAGCUGAACAAACAUUCCGGUCUCAAGUGCAGUAUCGAUUCCCACAUGAAUUCUUUAUCGAAGAAAACAAAUCAAGCAUCUCCAAUCACAACAAAAUAAAACAGACAAUUUCCGACUUCAGAUGCAAAGACGCUGCCGGUCUGCUCUGUAGCCAAACCCAAAUAGAUUCGUUAGCAGCCAGCUUCCCGUGAGGAAGACACGAAAAAACACUUACAAGCCGGCCCAGUGGUGCGGUGCGGUGAGUGGCUUCAAGCUUUUUUAAACAAUAAAAAAAAAUCGAGAAAUCAAAAAUCCAAAUCAACCGAGCUCACCACCCGACCGACGACGACAAGCGCGAGAGGGAGAAUCCCAAUUCCAGCGCACUUCAGAACCCGAUGAUCCAACAGACGAGUAGAACUUGUUCGCUACGGGAAGACCUUGCCCAUCAUCCAGGUCACGCAAGUCAAGAUCACGACACAUAUGAGGACGACGGUUGGAAAAGAUUAAGCGAAGGAGGAAAAUCAUCAAAAACCGAAUAUGAAUUCCGAUUCAAAAUCAUUUUGUAAUAGAUGUAGGUACAGCGAUCGGCGGCGCUCGUACAAGCGCAGAGAACGCAUGGUAAACGAGUCGUUGUUGCGUAGCCGAAGCAUGAGAGAACCGGCCGGUAAAAGAGUCUCGGAUUCCUUCGUGUGCACAUUCGGUCGAAACGAAUCACGCUUUAAUAUUUAUGCGCAUUGUUGUUUCUUGCGAUGAUCGUCGUUUAAAUCGAAGAAAAAAGUGCGGUUUGUUUUGCCUUCUGUCGGUUUUAUGCGCGGAUUUGUUGUUGUUUCAUUUUGCCGAAUCGAAUCGAAAUGAAAAAUGUCGAAGGAGCGCGAGUUGAUGACGAUUCCGCGUUUCGACGCCGUUUGCGGCGAAGAGGAGGAUAGCCGAUCCGAAGAGCGGAUCAAAAGCGAAUCACUGACGAAGAAGAGAUGCGGUGAAGAACAAAAACAAAAAAACCUAGCGAACAUCUCUCGUUCGUAUGACGAACGAUGCGAGAGAGAGACGCUGAUCAGAUCACAAAAGAUUUGUGGCGAUGAUUAAAUUUUGUGUGCUCUUCAAGUCAAAAAGGGGUUUGAGAAGGCGGUAGAAGGCACGAUGGGAUUCCGUUCCCUACGGGAUUUACGGAGAUGGAAACCUGCUACUCCAGAUUGGCUAUCGAGCCGAAGGGCGUGAGAUGAAAAAAAAACAAAGCUGUCAUCUGGUGAAAUAUGAGACCGCGGAGGAAUGUUGUACAAGAAGUCGUCGAUUAAUUAAGCCACCAGGAAAUGAGACUUACCUUAUUGUCAAGAAGUCGACAGGGAUUUGUGAUUUAAAGUCUGCUUUCUUUCACCAACGACCAUAAAUCUUCGGAGUAUGAUACUACGGCUUGUGAACUUCAAUCACAGAAUCACAGUAGCCCGAAGUCGAUUGAUGGACUGGAUUCGAAUCUAGUACUGCGAUUACCAAAGACGAAUCAACAGAGACGAAACAAACUCGGAAAACGUCGAGCAAAGGAAUUCUCACACACGUCAAUCACUUAGCAAGUUGUCAAUGAACGCUCGAGCGCGUUCUUUCCGGGACUUUAAGCCUUGCGGCGAAACAUCAAAGCAUUAGCUUCUUCUACGUUAAACUCUUCUGACAUUCCAAUCUUCUCUCAGCACUUCACUCUUCAUCAACAGCAGACAAUCCACUUGAACCUUAAUCCACUGCGACUCACUUCUAAUCCAUUUAAUUCAAUUGAUUUACGCAAAAAAAAACCGAACUCAAACUAUCAAUUAGAUGACAUUACACUUCUCUUCGCUGAUCUCACUUACACGAACAUUCCCUGCUGAUGUGAGCAAGCACAACAAAAUGUGAGUAAUUAUCAGCAGUAAUUACCAAUCUACACUAUUUUUCCCCGGCCUCGCCUUCAGUGAUUUACACACAUUCCAUUUUCGUCACAUGCA